rnacentral:lncRNA from 1 species
UACUAUAGUUAAGCUGGAAUCCAACUCCUGAAUUUCUGGAGCCCUGAAGACCACUUAGUCUUACUCACAAGAAAUUGAAUGGAAUGUGAAUCUACACUCAGGUGAAGCCAGGGUAUUUUGAACGUCCCUACAAGACUGAAGCACCACUGGGGAAUAAGUAAUAGAGAUGCCAUCAUUGUGGAGGUCAUAAUGCUUGUCCUGAACACGAGGGGUCUCUAGUGGUGAGUAACGAGCACUGAAGCCCGAGCACAAGCGGCCUGAGUCCCAGUGAGUCUAACCCCUCCCCAUCCUGCCCUCCCACACCACAUCCCAAUCAAACAUUUGCUGACUGCUGUUCUAUCUAGGAUAU